rnacentral:rRNA from 1 species
GUCGAGCGAGAUUUUUUUCUGUAGCAAUACAGGAAGAAGUCUAGCGGCGAACGGGUGCUUAACACGUGGGCAAUCUGUCGUAAAGUGGGGGAUAGCUCGGCGAAAGCCGAAUUAAUACCGCAUGUGAUUAGAGUGGACAUCCAUUCAAAAUCAAAGUCGGGGCAACCUGACGCUUUUUGAGGAGCCCGCGGCCUAUCAGCUUGUUGGUGAGGUAACGGCUCACCAAGGCUUUGACGGGUAGCUGGUCUGAGAGGACGACCAGCCACACUGGGACUGAGACACGGCCCAGACACCUACGGGUGGCAGCAGUCGAGAAUUUUUCUCAAUGGGGGAAACCCUGAAGGAGCGACGCCGCGUGGAGGAUGAAGGUCUUCGGGUUGUAAACUCCUGUCAUUUGGGAACAAGGCGUAUGUAUUAACUGUACGUGCGUUGAUAGUACCAGAAGAGGAAGAGACGGCUAACUCUGUGCCAGCAGCCGCGGUAAUACAGAGGUCUCAAGCGUUGUUCGGAUUCAUUGGGCGUAAAGGGUGCGUAGGCGGCGCGGUAAGUCGGGUGUGAAAUCUCGGAGCUUAACUCCGAAACUGCAUUCGAUACUGCCGUGCUUGAGGACUGGAGAGGAGACUGGAAUUUACGGUGUAGCGGUGAAAUGCGUAGAUAUCGUAAGGAAGACCAGUGGCGA